rfam:Strongylocentrotus purpuratus Contig139964_fixed, whole genome shotgun sequence.
AUAAAAUGAUGAUAACCCUCAUGCGUGUCAUUUGAAUGCAGCUAAUGUAUUUCUGGCUUUUACCAGUUGUAGGUGUUUUGCUUACAGGUGGAAGGGUUAGGAAGCUAGGCUGUAUACAUGAUACAAGUUGGCUUCUGAUUAU